UGGGGAAUAUUGCACAAUGGGCGCAAGCCUGAUGCAGCCAUGCCGCGUGUGUGAAGAAGGCCUUCGGGUUGUAAAGCACUUUCAGCGAGGAGGAAGGGUAGUGUGUUAAUAGCACAUUGCAUUGACGUUACUCGCAGAAGAAGCACCGGCUAACUCCGUGCCAGCAGCCGCGGUAAUACGGAGGGUGCAAGCGUUAAUCGGAAUUACUGGGCGUAAAGCGCACGCAGGCGGUUUGUUAAGUCAGAUGUGAAAUCCCGCGCUAACGU
rnacentral:rRNA from 1 species